AACAAGUUACUUAUUUCGCUUUAUUGAAAUUGAACAGGAUAAUUGCGAAAAUAUAAUAGGGAUGUUCUACCAUAACGAAGGUUGAUGAAUCGUCGGUCUUUAUACACGGCCCCCAGACGUUAUUAAUUAUUCUGCUGUUGAAGUUCACGAGAUCAAAUUAUCGAUAAAACUGUCAUGUUAAGAAAGGACAAGAAAAUAUACAUGCCUUGUUAGACACCAGAGGUCAGUCAACAAAACCUGUUUGAAACUCACAUUCGCAGUUUGCGGAAUAUUUUGGUCACUAGAUGGCGUUACUUGUCUUACUCGGCUUGUUUUUGAGUUUCUAGUCUGCGCGAUGGAAAUUUUGGCUCCGAUUCGGGGAAAUUCGAUUGUAAAAAGCGUAAAACUGAUUUCAGAAGAUCAAGAUUUGUUUGUACCGGAAUCAUUCUUCUGGAAAUAUGACAGGAGACAUCCUGCUCCAACAGCUGCGGGAAGAAUGGCCGAGAGUCCGAAUCGUCCAUCAUCCGUCUUGCAGUGAAGGAUGGCCCGACGGACGGAUUUUCUAGUCUCUUGUCUAUCUCGAGACGAAGACCACACAGAGCUCCGGACAGUUGUCAUCGAUCUUCGCAACAGCUGUGUGGAGGACAAACAGCAGGGUGGGCUGGAAACCCAUUGUUUCCUCAGAGAUCUUCAGGUGAUUGUUUCUGUACUGUUAUUAAUGGUUUUUAGAAAUGUUUAGAUGUAUAUUUUGAAAUGGCAUUAACGAAUCUAUUAAAAUAAUUUAAUACUUUGGGA